rnacentral:lncRNA from 1 species
CUUCCAAUUUAUGUAGUGAAUUUUAAAAAUUAAAAACACUAAAAAAGGCAUUAUUUUAGCCUGUAAUUAGUUAAGCCAUUCAAAUUUGAAACAUACAAAAUGAUUUAUUUGAAUUCAGGAACUGCCCCUGUUCCUUAUAUCAUUGCUUUGUUUUUUAAAUUUUAGUUUGACUCAAUUUUACAGUUUCAGGAUUUUGUUUCUGUUUCACGUUUUAAGCUUUUCUUUUAUAAAUAGUUACUUUCCUAGUCUGAAAUCUAUACAUUGUUUCAGUAAUGAAUUGAGGUGAGAGGAUUGCUUGAGCCCAGAAGGUCAAGGCGGCAGUGAGCCAUAAUCCAGCCACUACACUCUAGCCUGAAUGACAGAGCAAGACUCUGUCUCAAAAAUGAACAAAGAAAGAAAAGAAAGAAAGAGAGAGAGAGAGAGGGAGGGAAGGAGGAAGGAAGGAAGGAAGGAAGGAAGGAAGGAAGGAAGGAAGAAAAGGAAAAAUUAAUCAUCAUAUUAACCAAAAACACAUAGCAAGACAAGAUAACUAAAUAUUUUCAUUUGGAAAUUGGGAAAUUUAGUCAAUUUUAAAACUCAGCAAAUGAGAUCAUUUCACAGAAGCAACCUAGGUUUGCUGGUAAAUUAAAAUUAUGACAUUUUGUUUUGGUUUGGGAGGGUAGUUCCUCUUCUGUAAAUUGUGUAUCUCUGCUGCUGCUGGCAAAUUGGGCACUCAGCAGUGGCCACAGACAGUUCAGCCUUGGUGAGUGGAAGUCCACAUUGCUGAAUCCAUGCAUAGCCUCCAUCCCUGCCACCAUGGCCGCUAUGUUCAUGGGCUCAUUGGACAAUGACAGGGGUAUUUUCCUGAUGCGGUUAGUUUGGGGUCCAUAAAACUGGGAGCAACUGCAUUAUUCGUAAGACUUGGCAAGAGUCUUAGAAGUGGAACUGUUUGUGUUCAUGACCCUGGAGUCAGUGUUUGGGGUGGACACUGUGAUCCGAUUUGUACGGGAUUGGAAUGACUUGCGGGCUCAUCAAGGAAAAAGAGAUGGCCACAGGGGGGCAGUCGCACACAUGACUUUAUUGGGUGACGUUUUGUCAGGUUUGCAGAGAGAAGCCCCUCCCAGCAGGAAUCUGUGCAGAGAAUAAGCUGCCAGGCUUGCUUCUCGAAACGAUGGGACACUGGACAAGGGGCUGUGUGUCUAGGGGACGCCUCACAGCAGCACAGUGGGGAGUUUCUGGUUUAAGGUUUUCAUAACUGGGGUUUAUCUUACUGCGAGUAGAUGUGGUUGAAAUUUUCUGGACAUGCA